CCCCAGACUCCUACGGGAGGCAGCAGUAGGGAAUAUUGCACAAUGGGGGGAACCCUGAUGCAGCGACGCCGCGUGGGCGAGGAAGUAUUUCGGUAUGUAAAGCCCUAUCGGCAGGGAAGAAGAAAUGACGGUACCUGAAUAAGAAGCACCGGCUAAAUACGUGCCAGCAGCCGCGGUAAUACGUAUGAUGCAAGCGUUAUCCGGAAUUACUGGGUGUAAAGGGAGCGUAGGCGGCAAGGCAAGUCUGAUGUGAAAACCCAGGGCCCAACCCUGGGACUGCAUUGGAAACUGUAUUGCUUGAGUACCGGAGAGGCAGGCGGAAUUCCUAGUGUAGCGGUGAAAUGCGUAGAUAUUAGGAGGAACACCAGUGGCGAAGGCGGCCACCUGGACGACAACUGACGCUGAGGUGCGAAAGCGUGGGUAGCAAACAGGAUUAGAUACCCGUGUAAAC
rnacentral:rRNA from 1 species